GGGGUCAUAGCUCAGCUGGGAGAGUGCAUGGCUGGCAGCCAUGAGGUCGGGGGUUCGAACCCCCUUGACUCCACCA
rnacentral:tRNA from 1 species